UACGGAGGGUGCAAGCGUUAUCCGGAAUCACUGGGCUUAAAGCGUGUGUAGGCGGAUGCCUAAGUACCUUGUGAAAUCCCACGGCUCACCCGUGGAACUGCUUGGUAUACUGGGUGUCUUGAGCCACUUAGGGGCUACCGGAACAAAUGGUGGAGCGGUGAAAUGCGUAGAUAUCAUUUGGAACGCCAAUGGUGAAAACAGGUAGCUGGGAGUGUGCUGACGCUGAGACACGAAAGCCAGGGGAGCAAACGGG
rnacentral:rRNA from 1 species